GGAGAGGUCGCAUAGUGGUUUAGUGCUCCGGUCUUGAAAACCGGCAGGGCCAAAAGCUCUCGAGGGUUCGAAUCCCUCCCUCUCCGCCA
rnacentral:tRNA from 1 species